UUCAAUGCUACCCAUUUCUCG
ensembl:piRNA 21ur-3233 ncRNA